AGAGUUUGAUUAUGGCUCAGGAUGAACGCUGGCGGCGUGCUUAAUACAUGCAAGUCGAACGAAGCACUUUGACAGAUCCCCUCGGGGUGAAGAUGAUUGUGACUUAGUGGCGGACGGGUGAGUAACGCGUGGGGGAACCUGCCUCGUGCUGGGGGAUAACAGUUAGAAAUGACUGCUAAUACCGCAUAAGCGCACAGUAAGGCAUCUUACAGUGUGAAAAGAUUUAUCGGCAUGAGAUGGACCCGCGUCUGAUUAGGUAGUUGGCGGGGUAACGGCCCACCAAGCCCGCGAUCAGUAGCCGACUUGAGAGAGUGAUCGGCCACAUUGGGACUGAGACACGGCCCAGACUCCUACGGGAGGCAGCAGUAGGGAAUAUUGCACAAUGGGGGAAACCCUGAAUGCAGCGACGCCGCGUGAGUGAUGAAGUAUUUCGGUAACGUAAAACUCUAUCAGCAGGGAAGAUAAUGACGGUACCUGACUAAGAACGCCCCGGCUAACUACGUGCCAGCCGCCGC
rnacentral:rRNA from 1 species